rnacentral:lncRNA from 11 species
UGUGUCUCCAUUUGACAGGUGAUUGACUGAUCAGCUGUUUCAGGCUUUUCAGAAAUGCAUGUACUCCUGUGGAGUUCACACAGGAGGGAAGGAAGGAAAACACAAGUUUUUCAUGACUGCUGAGAUGCACAGGCAUAGAAAGGUUAAAUGAUUUCUGAGAGAAAUGGCUGCUGCCAACUGCCAGGAAGAGUGCCCUACUAGAAAAUUAAUUAUGGCUGUUGGGCUGGGAUAACAGACAAACAUCAAACUGGCCUGCUCCAGUGCAAUUGUGUUUUAUUACCUUGCAAAAUGUUUGGUAUGAACUCUUAAUAAGAGCCAUUUCAAUAAACAACUAUAGGAGCUUUGGAAGUUGAAAGAACACUAAGAACAAAUCUCAGUGCUCCCUAACAUCCAUAAAAGUUGCGAAAAAUAGUAAAUUCUGAGAGAGGGUGGGUUUAAUUAAUCUCCUCCCACAGCUUCUCAAAUUUGACCUGAAAUUUCUUUUGUUAUCAAGCAAAGCAACAAAUUACUUUCAAGUGAUCUUGAACUAGUCUGGUCAACUUUUGAGGUUUGAGAAGUCCCUCUACUCUUUUGAGUAUAUGGUGAAGUCCAG